GCGCCAAGCCUUCUCCCGCCGCCUUUGUUCUUGGAGAGAAUCACUCCUAAGUCUCCUCCGGGCGGGGCCCGGCCAACCCCCCCGCCCCGCCCCGUGGUGCCCAACUGGGGCCGCCUCCUCCCGCCCUCGCGGCGCCUGUCCCCUGGUCCCGGCGCCCCCGCUCAGGGCCACCGAAGGGUCUGGGGACUCGGGGAGGGGGGAGGCGCGAUCCGGGUCCGUGGGAGCCUCCCCAGCCCCGCAGUCCCAGCAGCAAACCGAGCGUUGUCGGACGGAUGCUCGCGCGGAGGGCCCCAACCCAGCCAGGUCUGAUGGUUACGGUGUGGACAUGCUGGAUUACAGCAGCGCCGCCUGCUCUGGCCCCAUGAUGCCCAGCACCACGUGGCACGUCCGGAUGCCCCAGCCUGGAGAGUCACGGUCGCACUCCCUUCCCCCACAGCAGCAAGGGGUCAUGCCCCCGUUGUCCGCAACUGGCCCUGGCGCCGCCCUCCGGGGAGGGGGAGAGACGGCCUCAGCUCCCCCAGGGGUGGGGUCUAGGGCAGGCUUCCGAGGGUUCAGAGGUUCUCGCCUUCUCUGCGUGGAGUGGAUGGAAGGCAGUUCCUUCCGUUUCAGGGGCUUCUUCCUGGCGCUCUUUGCCAAGGCCCUCCCUCGCCCACAGCUCAGGUGGAAAUACUGAGGCGGAUGAGUUCAGGUUGGCCAAGCCGCCAGCCACGGACCCUGGGUGUGCUCGCCCAUCCUGGCCCCGCCCCCUGCGCUCCCUGGUACCCACUGGCUCACUCCUGGGCGCUGUACAAUGAGAGGGGUGUUCCUAGCGGUCGCGAGAGAAAAGGGGUUACGAGGCCUUCCAGUUCCCACGCUCCCUCUGUGGAGUUUGCUUUUGCAGAUUCCGUUCCAGUCUGGUCUCCGGUUCCCUGGCUUAUCCUACGGCUGAGCGGAGUACCCGGGUAAAUAGGUUUCACUCUGCAGACUUCGGGUCAGGUCUGAGGGUCACGUGCAUUUGUCCUGCCUCCUCCAGGCACACAUUUCCAGACAGACCGGCAGAGGGCGGCCU
rnacentral:lncRNA from 1 species